GCAAACUUGGUCAUUUAGAGGAAGUAAAAGUCGUAACAAGGUUUCCGUAGGUGAACCUGCGGAAGGAUCAUUAAGAGUUUUGCGAUGGCCUAACCCGCCUCGUCUUUCUUUUAACCAUUGUGAACACACCUGUUGCUUCGGUGGCAUGGCCCCUCCGGGAGCCUGUCAGUCUGCCGGCAGCACGCAAACAAAACCAUUUCUGUAACUGUCGUCUGUACGUUAACGAAAAAUACGUUAAAACUUUCAACAACGGAUCUCUUGGUUCUCGCAUCGAUGAAGAACGCAGC
rnacentral:misc_RNA from 1 species